rnacentral:rRNA from 1 species
GUAAUGUCUGGGAAACUGCCUGAUGGAGGGGGAUAACUACUGGAAACGGUGGCUAAUACCGCAUAACGUCGCAAGACCAAAGAGGGGGACCUUCGGGCCUCUUGCCAUCAGAUGUGCCCAGAUGGGAUUAGCUAGUUGGUGAGGUAACGGCUCACCAAGGCGACGAUCCCUAGCUGGUCUGAGAGGAUGACCAGCCACACUGGAACUGAGACACGGUCCAGACUCCUACGGGAGGCAGCAGUGGGGAAUAUUGCACAAUGGGCGCAAGCCUGAUGCAGCCAUGCCGCGUGUAUGAAGAAGGCCUUCGGGUUGUAAAGUACUUUCAGCGGGGAGGAAGGUGUUGUGGUUAAUAACCGCAGCAAUUGACGUUACCCGCAGAAGAAGCACCGGCUAACUCCGUGCCAGCAGCCGCGGUAAUACGGAGGGUGCAAGCGUUAAUCGGAAUUACUGGGCGUAAAGCGCACGCAGGCGGUCUGUCAAGUCGGAUGUGAAAUCCCCGGGCUCAACCUGGGAACUGCAUUCGAAACUGGCAGGCUUGAGUC